rnacentral:rRNA from 1 species
UACGUAGGGUGCGAGCGUUGUCCGGAAUUAUUGGGCGUAAAGAGCUUGUAGGCGGUUUGUCGCGUCUGCUGUGAAAAUCCGGGGCUCAACCCCGGACUUGCAGUGGGUACGGGCAGACUAGAGUGCGGUAGGGGAGACUGGAAUUCCUGGUGUAGCGGUGAAAUGCGCAGAUAUCAGGAGGAACACCGGUGGCGAAGGCGGGUCUCUGGGCAGUAACUGACGCUGAGGAGCGAAAGCGUGGGGAGCGAACAGG